GUAUGGCCUCAUAUUUGCAGAUAUUGGUGCUCAAAAGAGUUCAAGCAAGCAAGGUCUAGAGGGCAGGCUUCUCGCUUAAAAUCUCUAGAUGUUGCUCAAAUCGUGGAGGUUCACGACCGUUCACAGAAACAAGGCAGUAUUUGGAACAUAAAUUUGGACCUGAGAAGGCUACCAUAAUGAACACAUAUGCUGCAAUGAAAUCUGGUAUCAAAAAUUUGGAUGAAAGUGGCUGUAGCGGUGCAAUCAGCAGCCAGAAAGCACAAAAACGCCUUGAUGCAUAUUGCAAUGGUCUUAAGAAAGCACAUCCAGAGGAUUGGCAAGACAUUGAUUUGGAUGAAAGUGUCUUGUACAACACAUCGGGUGGCAUGCCACAUGGCCGCCUAUAAAUUGCUACUGGUGCCGUCAAGAAAGCCCACAUUAUCUCUGCUGCAAAGGCAACAAAUCUGAAGCCCUCAAGUUCUGUUGCUUACCGUAAUGUCAUCCAAGA